rnacentral:lncRNA from 1 species
CUAAAUUAGUUCAAAAGCAUAUGCAUUAGCCUAAGAAAAUCACAUCUUUAUCUGAAAAUCUGACUUUGAUACCAUAUUAGUAAUUCGAAGAUUUGAGGUGAAGAAUCAAAAGAACUUUGAAGCUCUCAAUCACAUGCAUUUGUGUGUGCGUGUGUUUUCCAAUUUCAAAAACAUAUUAUGGAAUAAAAAUAAAAAGCACACAAAUAAAUCAACAAUCAAUCCCUAAAAUGUUCGUGGAUGUCAGAAAAUUUGGCCGCUGAGUUUAAUUAAAUUCUAAAAUGAUUCGUGAAAUUGAAAAUUCAAAAAUUACAUAUUUUGAAUCAUCUAAUUUAUCCACGGCGACAAGUCACCACUACAUGUUUAGGUAAAGCUCUAUAUUAAAAAUUUGUGUUGCCAGCAUGUUGUGGGGUGACUCAUGUGAUUAAGAAAUUUCAAUUUCAUAAAGUAUUUUAAAAUAGAAACCAAAUUGUGUGAUCUUUAUAAUUUAAUAGACUCAGUCGAUGAUUGACUCAAAGAAACACACUCAACGAAUGAAAGAAGUAUAUAAAUUUUCUAAACCUAAUUAAUGUCAUAGACUUAAAACAAUAUUAAGUGAUAAAGAGAAAUUAUAAGAACAUUACCUUUCUUUUCGCUUCUCCAAAAACCGAGUCAACGAAGCUUUACGCGCUUGAGGCAAGCCUACUAUAAACACAAUAAAAUUUUGCUAAUUAUUAUGUGUCUUACAAAAAUAAAAGAUACUAACUUUUAAAAAAUAUAAAAAUACUGCUAGCAACACACUCUUUUUCUAUACUUUAAAUUAAGUGGAUUAUUGUAAUCUUCAACCUCUCUAUUAGUAGAGUGGCAUGAGAUUUCACUCUUAGUAUGAAAAAAUUGAAAAUAAAGUGUUAUAUAAUGUGUUACUAACAUUUUUCAAAAAAAAAAAAAAAUAAUAAUAAUCACACAAAUAAAUCAACAAUCAAUCCCUAAAAUGUUCGUGGAUGUCAGAAAAUUUGGCCGCUGAGUUUAAUUAAAUUCUAAAAUGAUUCGUGAAAUUGAAAAUUCAAAAAUUACAUAUUUUGAAUCAUCUAAUUUAUCCACGGCGACAAGUCACCACUACAUGUUUAGGUAAAGCUCUAUAUUAAAAAUUUGUGUUGCCAGCAUGUUGUGGGGUGACUCAUGUGAUUAAGAAAUUUCAAUUUCAUAAAGUAUUUUAAAAUAGAAACCAAAUUGUGUGAUCUUUAUAAUUUAAUAGACUCAGUCGAUGAUUGACUCAAAGAAACACACUCAACGAAUGAAAGAAGUAUAUAAAUUUUCUAAACCUAAUUAAUGUCAUAGACUUAAAACAAUAUUAAGUGAUAAAGAGAAAUUAUAAGAACAUUACCUUU